CAGCCGCCGCGGGAAUACAGAGGGUGCGAGCGUUAAUCGGAUUUACUGGGCGUAAAGCGUGCGUAGGAGGCUUCUUAAGUCGGAUGUGAAAUCCCUGAGCUUAACUUAGGAAUUGCAUUCGAUACUGGGAAGCUAGAGUAUGGGAGAGGAUGGUAGAAUUCCAGGUGUAGCGGUGAAAUGCGUAGAGAUCUGGAGGAAUACCGAUGGCGAAGGCAGCCAUCUGGCCUAAUACUGACGCUGAGGUACGAAAGCAUGGGGAGCAAACAGGAUUAGAUACCCGCGUAGUCCCUGUCUCUUAUAC
rnacentral:rRNA from 1 species